rnacentral:rRNA from 1 species
UGGGUGGAUUAGUGGCGAACGGGUGAGUAACACGUGAGUAACCUGCCCUGGACUCUGGGAUAACUUCGGGAAAUCGGAGCUAAUACCGGAUAGGACCUUUCACCGCAUGGUGGGGGGUGGAAAGUUUUUCGGUUUGGGAUGGACUCGCGGCCUAUCAGCUUGUUGGUGAGGUAAUGGCUCACCAAGGCGUCGACGGGUAGCCGGCCUGAGAGGGUGACCGGCCACACUGGGACUGAGACACGGCCCAGACUCCUACGGGAGGCAGCAGUGGGGAAUAUUGCACAAUGGGCGCAAGCCUGAUGCAGCAACGCCGCGUGCGGGAUGACGGCCUUCGGGUUGUAAACCGCUUUUAGUAAGGAAGAAGCCUUUCGGGGUGACGGUACUUGCAGAAAAAGGACCGGCUAACUACGUGCCAGCAGCCGCGGUAAUACGUAGGGUCCGAGCGUUGUCCGGAAUUAUUGGGCGUAAAGAGCUCGUAGGCGGUUUGUCGCGUCUGCUGUGAAAUCUAGAGGCUCAACCUCUAGCGUGCAGUGGGUACGGGCAGACUGGAGUGGUGUAGGGGAGACUGGAAUUCCUGGUGUAGCGGUGGAAUGCGCAGAUAUCAGGAGGAACACCGAUGGCGAAGGCAGGUCUCUGGGCACUUACUGACGCUGAGGAGCGAAAGCGUGGGGAGCGAACAGGAUUAGAUACCCUGGUAGUCCACGCCGUAAACGUUG